rnacentral:tmRNA from 1 species
GGGGGCGUCACGGAUUCGACGGAGAUGCUUGCGGCCAGGAGGCAUGCCGGGGUGCACACACCCGUAAUCGCGUGCAAAAUGAUAAUUGCCAAUCAACAGAUGGCAUACGCAGCCUAAUUCGUUAGGCCGCCGUUCUCCGCAGCUUUGCCCGUGGGCUGCGAGCGAACGUCACACAGCGGGCUGCUCUUCUCUGCUACGUCUGGGUAGAGAAGCUAAGAUCUCAGGCUAGCGCCAACGGUUUCUUGUCCGUUCUGAGCCGGUGACGCGAACGUCCUGGGGUAAUGCCCAGGGCAUGAACUGGAAUAAGCAUGUAGUCUCUUGACCAGUAACAUUUUCGGACGCGGGUUCGACUCCCGCCGCCUCCACCA